UGGGGAAUAUUGCACAAUGGGCGAAAGCCUGAUGCAGCAACGCCGCGUGAGUGAUGAAGGUCUUCGGAUUGUAAAGCUCUGUCUUUUGGGACGAUAAUGACGGUACCAAAGGAGGAAGCCACGGCUAACUACGUGCCAGCAGCCGCGGUAAUACGUAGGUGGCGAGCGUUGUCCGGAUUUACUGGGCGUAAAGGGUGCGUAGGCGGAUGUUUAAGUGAGAUGUGAAAUACCCGGGCUUAACUUGGGUGCUGCAUUUCAAACUGGAUAUCUAGAGUGCAGGAGAGGAGAAUGAAAUUCCUAGUGUAGCGGUGAAAUGCGUAGAGAUUAGGAAGAACACCAGUGGCGAAGGCGAUUCUCUGGACUGUAACUGACGCUGAGGCACGAAAGCGUGGGUAGCAAACAGGAUUAGAUACCCUGGUAGUCCACGCCGUAAACGAUGAGUACUAGGUGUAGGAGGUAUCGACCCCUUCUGUGCCGCAGUAAACACAUUAAGUACUCCGCCUGGGAAGUACGAUCGCAAGAUUAAAAC
rnacentral:rRNA from 1 species